rnacentral:rRNA from 1 species
GUCGAACGGACCCUUCGGGGUUAGUGGCGGACGGGUGAGUAACACGUGGGAACGUGCCCUUUGGUUCAGAACAACUCAGGGAAACUUGAGCUAAUACUGAAUAAGCCCUACGGGGGAAAGAUUUAUUGCCAUUGGAGCGGCCCGCGUUGGAUUAGCUAGUUGGUGAGGUAAAGGCUCACCAAGGCUACGAUCCAUAGCUGGUCUGAGAGGAUGAUCAGCCACACUGGGACUGAGACACGGCCCAGACUCCUACGGGAGGCAGCAGUUAGGAAUCUUGCGCAAUGGGCGAAAGCCUGACGCAGCCAUGCCGCGUGAAUGAUGAAGGUCUUAGGAUUGUAAAAUUCUUUCAGUGGGGAAGAUAAUGACUGUACCCACAGAAGAAGCUCCGGCUAACUUCGUGCCAGCAGCCGCGGUAAUACGAAGGGGGCUAGCGUUGCUCGGAAUUACUGGGCGUAAAGGGCGCGUAGGCGGACAGUUUAGUUGGGGGUGAAAGCCCGGGGCUCAACCUCGGAAUUGCCUUCAAUACUGGCUGUCUUGAGUACGGGAGAGGUGUGUGGAACUCCGAGUGUAGAGGUGAAAUUC